rnacentral:lncRNA from 1 species
UUUUUUUUUUUUUUUUUUUUUUUUGGGCCAAUCAAUUCUCUAGGAGAUGCUGUCAUAAAGAGGGGGAAGAAUGGAAGAGGAGCAAAGCCAUUGAUAGGAGGAUGGUAUUUGUUUUUAAAACACAAAUAUAUAUAUGUAAACCUGUGUCUAAAUAUGAUUGUAAGAUAAGCCCAAUGAGACAACAUCUAGACAGUGAAAAUAUUAUUUAUUUGAGUUUCAAAAAAAAAAUGAUCAACACCUCUUGUAGUCUUUGUCAAACCAGUAAAUAGGUAACUCCAUGCUGGGCAGUGUGAAAAAAACAAAACACUGCAAUGAAUCGAAUAAAAUAUGUGUUCUGCAGGAAGCUGUAAUUUAAUAGAUAUGAGGCAAAUAUCUAUGGUCAAAAUGACAGCCAUGAACAUCAGGAACCAAAAAUACAGAAUUUCCAGGUUUUUAAAAAAAAAAAUUAAGGCCCCGCUCACAGCUCUAUUACACAAAAAGGAAUAGUUUUGAUGGAAGGUUAUGUUAAAAAUUUCUGUCUGUUUCCAGCCCUAUUUUACCAUUUGGGAGGUUUUUGUUUGUUUGUUUGUUUUUUGUCUUUUUUUUUUAGCAUAAAGGAGUGUUUUGGUAUUUUGGUAUGUAUGUCAUGAAAUCGAGCUACUGCGUUAACAAAGAUAUGUACUAUAAAUAUCCAAAUUAGAACACUUUAAAAGUAUUCAUUUAUUUUGAUUAAUGGUAGAUACAUGCUUGUUGAAUUUU